UACGAAGGGGGCUAGCGUUGCUCGGAAUCACUGGGCGUAAAGGGUGCGUAGGCGGUCGGGUAAGUCUGAUGUGAAAUCUCACAGCUUAACUGUGAAACUGCAUUGGAUACUAUCCGGCUUGAGGAAUGGAGGGGAGACUGGAAUACUUGGUGUAGCAGUGAAAUGCGUAGAUAUCAAGUGGAACACCAGUGGCGAAGGCGAGUCUCUGGACAUUUCCUGACGCUGAGGCACGAAAGCCAGGGGAGCAAACGGG
rnacentral:rRNA from 1 species